GAAUGAGAGGGCCAUCUGGCCGGAGCAUCUGUUACUGAACUGGUUGCCAGGAUUGUUUCCACUGAUCUGACUGGCUAAGUGGGAGUCCCUUUCCUCCUUAUGUCAGUCCCUCCCAAAGCCUGUGGGUGGAAUGGCGUCUUCCUUUUCUUUGGUCAGGAGUAUCUGAGUCCUGACGCAUGCUUGCUGGAACCUCAAGCCAGCUCUCUUUCACGAGGGACCACCACAGGAAUGCCCUUUCUGCCCACCUCUUGUAAAUAAAUGCAUAAAUAAAUAAAUGCCCUUU
ensembl:misc_RNA 7SK 7SK RNA